GCAUCACCCCAGCUGCUUGCUUGCUUGCCAUGGCAGACAAGGAAGCAGCCUUUGACGACGCUGUGGAAGAACGUGUAAUCAACAUGGAAUACAAAACAUGGAAAAAGAACACCCCUUUUCUUUAUGAUUUGGUGAUGACCCAUGCUCUGGAGUGGCCCAGCCUAACUGCACAGUGGCUUCCAGAUGUAACCAGAACAGAAGGGAAAAAUUUCAGCAUUCAUUGACUCAUCCUGGGGACACACACAUCAGAUGAACAAAACCACCUUGUGAUAGCUAGUGUGCAGCUCCCUAAUGAUGAUGCUCAGUUUGAUGCAUCACACUAGGACAGUGAAAAAGGAGAAUUUGGAGGUUUCGGUUCUGUUAGUGGGAAAAUUGAAAUAGAAAUCAAGAUCAACCACGAAGGAGAAGUAAACCGGCCCGUUAUAUGCCCCCAAAUCCUUGCAUCAUUGCAAAAAAGACUCCAUCCAGUGAUGUUCUUGUUUUUGACUAUACAAAACAUCCUUCUAAACCAGACCCUUCUGGAGAGUGCAAUCCAGACUUACGUCUCGUGGAAAUCAGAAGGAAGGCUAUGGACUUUCUUGGAACCCAAAUCUCAGUGGGCACUUACUUAGUGCUUCAGAUGGUCAUACCAUCUGCCUGUGGGACAUCAGUGCUGUUCCAAAGGAAAGAAAGGUGGUGGAUGCAAAGACCAUCUUUACAGGGCAUACAGUAGUAGUUGAAGAUGUUUCCUGGCACCUGCUCCAUGAGUCUUUGUUUGGGUCAGUUGCUGAUGAUCAGAAACUUAUGAUUUGGGAUGCUCAUUCCAACAAUACUUCCAAACCAAGCCAUUCAGUGGAUGCUCACACUGCUGAAGUGAACUGCCUCUCUUUCAAUCCUUAUAGUGAGUUUAUUCUUGCUACAGGAUCAGCUGACAAGACCAUUGCCUUGUGGGAUCUACGAAAUCUGAAGCUUAAGUUGCAUUCCUUUGAAUCACAUAAGGAUGAAAUAUUCCAGGUUCAGUGGUCACCUAACAAUGAGACUAUUUUGGCUUCUAGUGGUACUGAUCGCAGACUGAAUGUCUGGGGCUUAAGUAAAAUUGUAGAGGAACAAUCCCCAGAAGAUGCAGAAGAUAGGCCACCAGAGUUGUUGUUUAUUCAUGGUUAUUCACUGCCAAGAUAUCUGAUUUCUCUUGGAAUCCUAAUGAACCUUGGGUGAUUUGUUCUGUAUCAGAAGACAAUAUCAUGCAAGUGUGGCAGAUGGCAGAGAACAUUUAUAAUGAUGAGGACCCUGAAGGAAGCGUGGAUCCAGAAGGACAAGGGAUAUUUAUGCAUUUCUUGUGAUUUUAGGCUCCCCUUCUUUUCUUCUCAACCUUGAGAUUGAUUUAACACUGGUUUUGAGACGCACAGACUUUUU